rnacentral:misc_RNA from 1 species
GAUGAAGAACGCAGCGAAAUGCGAUAAGUAAUGUGAAUUGCAGAAUUCAGUGAAUCAUCGAAUCAUUGAACGCACAUUGCGCCCGCUAGUAUUCUGGCGGGCAUGCCUGUCCGAGCGUCAUUUCAACCCUCAAGCCCCCGGGCUUGGUGUUGGGGAUCGGCGAGCCUCCGCGCCCGCCGUCCCCUAAAUCUAGUGGCGGUCUCGCUGUAGCUUCCUCUGCGUAGUAGCACACCUCGCACUGGGAAACAGCGCGGCCACGCCGUUAAACCCCCAACUUCUGAACGUUUGACCUCGGAUCAGGUAGGAAUACCCGCUGAACUUAAGCAUAUCAAUAAGCGGAGGA